GCCGAUGUAGCUCAAUGGUAGAGCAAGGCUUUCGUAAAGCUUAGGUUGGUGGUUCAAUUCCACUCAUCGGCUCCA
rnacentral:tRNA from 1 species